rnacentral:rRNA from 1 species
GACGAACGCUGGCGGCGUGCCUAACACAUGCAAGUCGAACGAACAGACCAGGAGUUUGUGCGUCGGACGUUAGCGGCGGACGGGUGAGUAACACGUGGAUAACCUACCUGUAAGACGGGGAUAAUUACGGGAAAGCGGAGCUUACACCGGAUGAUAUAUUGAACCGCGGUGUGCAAUAGUGAGAUUCGGUUUUGGGGUCUCUAAUAGAUGGAUACGGGCCGGAUGAGCUGGUUGGGAAGGUAAUGGCUUACCAAGGCAACGAGGCGUAGCCGACCUGAGAGGGUGAUCGGCCACCCUGGAGCUGAGCCACGGUCCAGACUCCUACGGGAGGACGCAGUAGGGAAUCUUACGCAAUGGGGGAGAGCCUGACGGAGCAACGCGGCGUGAGUGAUGAAGGUCCUCGGAUCGUAAAACUCUGUUAUUAGGGGAGAACAAAUGUGGACGUAACCAUGCAGGUCUUGACGGUACCGGAUCAGAAAGCCCCGGCUAACUACGUG